rnacentral:rRNA from 1 species
GGGUUGUGAGGUUAAGCGAACAAGCGUACACGGUGGAUGCCCUGGCAGUCAGAGGCGAUGAAGGACGUGCUAAUCUGCGAAAAGCGCCGGUAAGGUGAUAUGAACCGUUAUAACCGGCGAUGUCCGAAUGGGGAAACCCGGUGCACUUCGGUGCAUCAUCGUUAGCUGAAUACAUAGGCUAACGAGGCGAACCGGGGGAACUGAAACAUCUAAGUACCCCGAGGAAAAGAAAUCAACCGAGAUUCCCCCAGUAGCGGCGAGCGAACGGGGAACAGCCCAGAGCCUGAAUCAGCUUGUGUGUCAGUGGAACGGUCUGGAAAGGCCGGCGAUACAGGGUGACAGCCCCGUACACGAAGGCACACAGGCUGUGAGCUCGAUGAGUAGGGCGGGACACGUGAUAUCCUGUCUGAAGAUGGGGGGACCAUCCUCCAAGGCUAAAUACUCCUGACUGACCGAUAGUGAACCAGUACCGUGAGGGAAAGGCGAAAAGAACCCCGGCGAGGGGAGUGAAACAGAACCUGAAACCGUGUACGUACAAGCAGUGGGAGCCUUCGUAAGAGGGUGACUGCGUACCUUUUGUAUAAUGGGUCAGCGACUUAUAUUCUGUAGCAAGGUUAACCGUAUAGGGGAGCCGAAGGGAAACCGAGUCUUAACCGGGCGUUAAGUUGCAGGGUAUAGACCCGAAACCCGGUGAUCUAGCCAUGGGCAGGUUGAAGGUUGGGUAACACUAACUGGAGGACCGAACCGACUAAUGUUGAAAAAUUAGCGGAUGACCUGUGGCUGGGGGUGAAAGGCCAAUCAAACCGGGAGAUAGCUGGUUCUCCCCGAAAGCUAUUUAGGUAGCGCCUCGUGAACUCAUCUCCGGGGGUAGAGCACUGUUUCGGCUAGGGGGCCAUCCCGGCUUACCAACCCGAUGCAAACUGCGAAUACCGGAGAAUGUUAUCACGGGAGACACACGGCGGGUGCUAACGUCCGUCGUGAAGAGGGAAACAACCCAGACCGCCAGCUAAGGUCCCAAAGUCAUGGUUAAGUGGGAAACGAUGUGGGAAGGCCCAGACAGCCAGGAUGUUGGCUUAGAAGCAGCCAUCAUUUAAAGAAAGCGUAAUAGCUCACUGGUCGAGUCGGCCUGCGCGGAAGAUGUAACGGGGCUAAACCAUGCACCGAAGCUGCGGCAGCGACACGUAUGUGUUGUUGGGUAGGGGAGCGUUCUGUAAGCCUGUGAAGGUGUGCUGUGAGGCAUGCUGGAGGUAUCAGAAGUGCGAAUGCUGACAUAAGUAACGAUAAAGCGGGUGAAAAGCCCGCUCGCCGGAAGACCAAGGGUUCCUGUCCAACGUUAAUCGGGGCAGGGUGAGUCGACCCCUAAGGCGAGGCCGAAAGGCGUAGUCGAUGGGAAACAGGUUAAUAUUCCUGUACUUGGUGUUACUGCGAAGGGGGGACGGAGAAGGCUAUGUCGGCCGGGCGACGGUUGUCCCGGUUUAAGCGUGUAGGCUGACUUUCCAGGCAAAUCCGGAAGGUUAAGGCUGAGGCGUGAUGACGAGGCACCACGGUGCUGAAGUGACAAAUGCCCUGCUUCCAGGAAAAGCCUCUAAGCAUCAGGUAACAUCAAAUCGUACCCCAAACCGACACAGGUGGUCAGGUAGAGAAUACCAAGGCGCUUGAGAGAACUCGGGUGAAGGAACUAGGCAAAAUGGUGCCGUAACUUCGGGAGAAGGCACGCUGACAUGUAGGUGAAGCCCCUGCGGGUGGAGCUGAAGUCAGUCGAAGAUACCAGCUGGCUGCAACUGUUUAUUAAAAACACAGCACUGUGCAAACACGAAAGUGGACGUAUACGGUGUGACGCCUGCCCGGUGCCGGAAGGUUAAUUGAUGGGGUUAUCGCAAGAGAAGCUCCUGAUCGAAGCCCCGGUAAACGGCGGCCGUAACUAUAACGGUCCUAAGGUAGCGAAAUUCCUUGUCGGGUAAGUUCCGACCUGCACGAAUGGCGUAAUGAUGGCCAGGCUGUCUCCACCCGAGACUCAGUGAAAUUGAACUCGCUGUGAAGAUGCAGUGUACCCGCGGCAAGACGGAAAGACCCCGUGAACCUUUACUACAGCUUGACACUGAACAUUGAGCCUUGAUGUGUAGGAUAGGUGGGAGGCUUUGAAGCGUGGACGCCAGUCUGCGUGGAGCCGACCUUGAAAUACCACCCUUUAAUGUUUGAUGUUCUAACCUGGCGCCAUAAUCUGGCGUGGGGACAGUGUCUGGUGGGUAGUUUGACUGGGGCGGUCUCCUCCCAAAGUGUAACGGAGGAGCACGAAGGUCAGCUAAUCCUGGUCGGACAUCAGGAGGUUAGUGCAAUGGCAUAAGCUGGCUUGACUGCGAGAGUGACGGCUCGAGCAGGUGCGAAAGCAGGUCAUAGUGAUCCGGUGGUUCUGUAUGGAAGGGCCAUCGCUCAACGGAUAAAAGGUACUCCGGGGAUAACAGGCUGAUACCGCCCAAGAGUUCAUAUCGACGGCGGUGUUUGGCACCUCGAUGUCGGCUCAUCACAUCCUGGGGCUGAAGUAGGUCCCAAGGGUAUGGCUGUUCGCCAUUUAAAGUGGUACGCGAGCUGGGUUUAGAACGUCGUGAGACAGUUCGGUCCCUAUCUGCCGUGGGCGCUGGAGAAUUGAGGGGGGCUGCUCCCAGUACGAGAGGACCGGAGUGGACGCAUCACUGGUGUUCGGGUUGUCAUGCCAAUGGCACUGCCCGGUAGCUAAAUGCGGAAGAGAUAAGUGCUGAAAGCAUCUAAGCACGAAACUUGCCCCGAGAUGAGUUCUCCCUGAGACUGUAAGUCUCCUGAAGGAACGUUGAAGACGACGACGUUGAUAGGCCGGGUGUGUAAGCGCAGCGAUGCGUUGAGCUAACCGGUACUAAUGAACCGUGAGGCUUAACCUUACAACGCCAAAGAAGU